rnacentral:rRNA from 1 species
CAACCUGCCGAUAACUCGGGGAUAGCCUUUCGAAAGAAAGAUUAAUACCCGAUGGCAUAAUUAGACCGCAUGGUUUGAUUAUUAAAGAAUUUCGGUUAUCGAUGGGGAUGCGUUCCAUUAGGCAGUUGGUGAGGUAACGGCUCACCAAACCUUCGAUGGAUAGGGGUUCUGAGAGGAAGGUCCCCCACAUUGGAACUGAGACACGGUCCAA